rnacentral:rRNA from 1 species
UACAGAGGUCUCAAGCGUUGUUCGGAUUCAUUGGGCGUAAAGGGUGCGUAGGUGGCGCGGUAAGUCGGGUGUGAAAUUUCGGAGCUUAACUCCGAAACUGCAUUCGAUACUGCCGUGCUUGAGGACUGGAGAGGAGACUGGAAUUUACGGUGUAGCAGUGAAAUGCGUAGAGAUCGUAAGGAAGACCAGUGGCGAAGGCGGGUCCCUGGACAGUUCCUGACACUGAGGCACGAAGGCCAGGGGAGCAAACGGG